AGUUCCCACCUCAACAAAUGCCAAUCUCAAUAAUGCCAAUAUGUCCAAAGCUGCCCAUGGAAAGCGGCCCAGCAUUGGGAACCUUGAGCAUGUGUCUGAAAAUGGGCAUCAUUCUUCCCACAAGCAUGACCGGGAGCCUCAGAGAAGGUCCAGUGUGAAAAGGUCCGACUCAGGAGAUGAACAGCUCCCAACUAUUUGCCGGGAAGACCCAGAGAUACAUGGCUAUUUCAGGGACCCCCACUGCUUGGGGGAGCAGGAGUAUUUCAGUAGUGAGGAAUGCUACGAGGACGACAGCUCGCCCACCUGGAGCAGGCAAAACUAUGGCUACUACAGCAGAUACCCAGGCAGAAACAUCGACUUUGAGAGGCCCCGAGGCUACCAUCACCCUCAAGGAUUCUUGGAGGACGAUGACUCGCCCGUUUGCUAUGAUUCACGGAGAUCUCCAAGGAGACGCCUACUACCUCCCACCCCAGCAUGUGAGGCCAGAUUUUUUGUUUUGGGUGGAACCUCCCGGGGAACAGUGUGCCUCUCCCCCCACCCCUGCUCUG
rnacentral:sRNA from 1 species